UAUUGCUUAGAGGUGGGAUGAAGUGGGGGUUGAUCAGGAAUUCUGAGAUUUGUAAGCGCUGCUUUCUUUAACGGAAAUUGAGCUCUAUUUUGAGGGAAAUUAGUUUUGCAGACUUCGUUUAAAAAANUUUUUUUAAAAAAAAAAAAAAAAAAAAAAAAAAAAAAAAAAAAAAAAAAAAACUAAAACUUUUGUUCACCAGCUGCUCAGCUUUUCAGUCUGGGUCUGAGCUGAAACCUGCUGCAAGUCUUUGACGGUACCAAAUUACAUAUAUAUGUGUCAAAAUGAUGUAGGACCUAAAGUCUCUCUGUAAGUUGAUCCUCUUGACCCCAUGAUUAGGAGCUUCACAAUGUGAUACCACACAUGGAAACCUCUAGAACAAGAUCUCAAGGAAACACAGGAAAUUCCUGAAACAGCAAAGCCCCCUAUGUGAAGACGCCUGUUAUUCCUUUGUGCAUCAGGAGCAUCACUGUUAAUUAACUGUUGAUACGCUUAAAAGAGCUUGGUUGGCAAUGUCCUUUUUGAGAAAAGAAGAGCCAGGUGUGUUAUCCAGGAUGAACUAGACAAUGCUGUCACAAGUUUACCUCUACUUCUUAUUGCCUUGGAAAAAUUUCCUGCAUAUUGUGACACAAGAUGGUUGGCUCUCCAGGCAGCAGUUGGCGUUGUGAAUCAGUCAUCUCAGCAUGUGAUGACUUCGAGGCAGAGGUGGUAGGUGCCAUUUCUGCUCACAGCUCAUGGACCAGAACAAAGCCAUGCAUACCUGCGAGAGGACCAGAAAAUAUUCUGAAGCAAAUAGCUACUUGGAAAAGAAGAGAUGGAAGGAAGCUGUUGCUUCAUUUUCUGUUCAUAGAAGGGGAGAGAGAAUAUCAGAGUUUGAUGGGAGCAGCCACAGACAGAAGAAGAAGCAGAAAAAUUAUUUCAGCAUUUUGAAAUAAAUGUCUUUU
rnacentral:lncRNA from 1 species